rnacentral:rRNA from 1 species
CCUACGGGAGGCAGCAGUGGGGAAUAUUGCACAAUGGGAAACCCUGAUGCAGCGACGCCGCGUGAGUGAAAAAGUAUUUCGGUAUGUAAAGCUCUAUCAGCAGGGAAGAAAGAAAUGACGGUACCUGACUAAGAAGCCCCGGCUAACUACGUGCCAGCAGCCGCGGUAAUACGUAGGGGGCAAGCGUUAUCCGGAUUUACUGGGUGUAAAGGGAGCGUAGACGGCGAUGCAAGUCUGAAGUGAAAGGCGGGGGCCCAACCCCUGGACUGCUUUGGAAACUGUAUGGCUGGAGUGCAGGAGAGGUAAGUGGAAUUCCUAGUGUAGCGGUGAAAUGCGUAGAUAUUAGGAGGAACACCAGUGGCGAAGGCGGCUUACUGGACUGUAACUGACGUUGAGGCUCGAAAGCGUGUGGAGCAAACAGGAUUAGAUACCCCAGUAGUC